GGUUAAGCGACUAAGCGUACACGGUGGAUGCCCUGGCAGUCAGAGGCGAUGAAGGACGUGCUAAUCUGCGAUAAGCGUCGGUAAGGUGAUAUGAACCGUUAUAACCGGCGAUUUCCGAAUGGGGAAACCCAGUGUGUUUCGACACACUAUCAUUAACUGAAUCCAUAGGUUAAUGAGGCGAACCGGGGGAACUGAAACAUCUAAGUACCCCGAGGAAAAGAAAUCAACCGAGAUUCCCCCAGUAGCGGCGAGCGAACGGGGAGCAGCCCAGAGCCUGAAUCAGUGUGUGUGUUAGUGGAAGCGUCUGGAAAGGCGCGCGAUACAGGGUGACAGCCCCGUACACAAAAAUGCACAUGCUGUGAGCUCGAUGAGUAGGGCGGGACACGUGGUAUCCUGUCUGAAUAUGGGGGGACCAUCCUCCAAGGCUAAAUACUCCUGACUGACCGAUAGUGAACCAGUACCGUGAGGGAAAGGCGAAAAGAACCCCGGCGAGGGGAGUGAAAAAGAACCUGAAACCGUGUACGUACAAGCAGUGGGAGCACGCUUAGGCGUGUGACUGCGUACCUUUUGUAUAAUGGGUCAGCGACUUAUAUUCUGUAGCAAGGUUAACCGAAUAGGGGAGCCGAAGGGAAACCGAGUCUUAACUGGGCGUUAAGUUGCAGGGUAUAGACCCGAAACCCGGUGAUCUAGCCAUGGGCAGGUUGAAGGUUGGGUAACACUAACUGGAGGACCGAACCGACUAAUGUUGAAAAAUUAGCGGAUGACUUGUGGCUGGGGGUGAAAGGCCAAUCAAACCGGGAGAUAGCUGGUUCUCCCCGAAAGCUAUUUAGGUAGCGCCUCGUGAAUUCAUCUCCGGGGGUAGAGCACUGUUUCGGCAAGGGGGUCAUCCCGACUUACCAACCCGAUGCAAACUGCGAAUACCGGAGAAUGUUAUCACGGGAGACACACGGCGGGUGCUAACGUCCGUCGUGAAGAGGGAAACAACCCAGACCGCCAGCUAAGGUCCCAAAGUCAUGGUUAAGUGGGAAACGAUGUGGGAAGGCCCAGACAGCCAGGAUGUUGGCUUAGAAGCAGCCAUCAUUUAAAGAAAGCGUAAUAGCUCACUGGUCGAGUCGGCCUGCGCGGAAGAUGUAACGGGGCUAAACCAUGCACCGAAGCUGCGGCAGCGACGCUUAUGCGUUGUUGGGUAGGGGAGCGUUCUGUAAGCCUGCGAAGGUGUGCUGUGAGGCAUGCUGGAGGUAUCAGAAGUGCGAAUGCUGACAUAAGUAACGAUAAAGCGGGUGAAAAGCCCGCUCGCCGGAAGACCAAGGGUUCCUGUCCAACGUUAAUCGGGGCAGGGUGAGUCGACCCCUAAGGCGAGGCCGAAAGGCGUAGUCGAUGGGAAACAGGUUAAUAUUCCUGUACUUGGUGUUACUGCGAAGGGGGACGGAGAAGGCUAUGUUGGCCGGGCGACGGUUGUCCCGGUUUAAGCGUGUAGGCUGGUUUUCCAGGCAAAUCCGGAAAAUCAAGGCUGAGGCGUGAUGACGAGGCACUACGGUGCUGAAGCAACAAAUGCCCUGCUUCCAGGAAAAGCCUCUAAGCAUCAGGUAACAUCAAAUCGUACCCCAAACCGACACAGGUGGUCAGGUAGAGAAUACCAAGGCGCUUGAGAGAACUCGGGUGAAGGAACUAGGCAAAAUGGUGCCGUAACUUCGGGAGAAGGCACGCUGAUAUGUAGGUGAAGCGACUUGCUCGUGGAGCUGAAAUCAGUCGAAGAUACCAGCUGGCUGCAACUGUUUAUUAAAAACACAGCACUGUGCAAACACGAAAGUGGACGUAUACGGUGUGACGCCUGCCCGGUGCCGGAAGGUUAAUUGAUGGGGUUAGCGCAAGCGAAGCUCUUGAUCGAAGCCCCGGUAAACGGCGGCCGUAACUAUAACGGUCCUAAGGUAGCGAAAUUCCUUGUCGGGUAAGUUCCGACCUGCACGAAUGGCGUAAUGAUGGCCAGGCUGUCUCCACCCGAGACUCAGUGAAAUUGAACUCGCUGUGAAGAUGCAGUGUACCCGCGGCAAGACGGAAAGACCCCGUGAACCUUUACUAUAGCUUGACACUGAACAUUGAGCCUUGAUGUGUAGGAUAGGUGGGAGGCUUUGAAGUGUGGACGCCAGUCUGCAUGGAGCCGACCUUGAAAUACCACCCUUUAAUGUUUGAUGUUCUAACGUUGACCCGUAAUCCGGGUUGCGGACAGUGUCUGGUGGGUAGUUUGACUGGGGCGGUCUCCUCCUAAAGAGUAACGGAGGAGCACGAAGGUUGGCUAAUCCUGGUCGGACAUCAGGAGGUUAGUGCAAUGGCAUAAGCCAGCUUGACUGCGAGCGUGACGGCGCGAGCAGGUGCGAAAGCAGGUCAUAGUGAUCCGGUGGUUCUGAAUGGAAGGGCCAUCGCUCAACGGAUAAAAGGUACUCCGGGGAUAACAGGCUGAUACCGCCCAAGAGUUCAUAUCGACGGCGGUGUUUGGCACCUCGAUGUCGGCUCAUCACAUCCUGGGGCUGAAGUAGGUCCCAAGGGUAUGGCUGUUCGCCAUUUAAAGUGGUACGCGAGCUGGGUUUAGAACGUCGUGAGACAGUUCGGUCCCUAUCUGCCGUGGGCGCUGGAGAACUGAGGGGGCUGCUCCUAGUACGAGAGGACCGGAGUGGACGCAUCACUGGUGUUCGGGUUGUCAUGCCAAUGGCACUGCCCGGUAGCUAAAUGCGGAAGAGAUAAGUGCUGAAAGCAUCUAAGCACGAAACUUGCCCCGAGAUGAGUUCUCCCUGACCCUUUAAGGGUCCUGAAGGAACGUUGAAGACGACGACGUUGAUAGGCCGGGUGUGUAAGCGCAGCGAUGCGUUGAGCUAACCGGUACUAAUGAACCGUGAGGCUUAACCUU
rnacentral:rRNA from 1 species